rnacentral:rRNA from 1 species
GAUGAACGCUGGCGGCGUGCCUAAUACAUGCAAGUCGAGCGAACGGACGAGAAGCUUGCUUCUCUGAUGUUAGCGGCGGACGGGUGAGUAACACGUGGAUAACCUACCUAUAAGACUGGGAUAACUUCGGGAAACCGGAGCUAAUACCGGAUAAUAUUUUGAACCGCAUGGUUCAAAAGUGAAAGGCGGUCUUGCUGUCACUUAUAGAUGGAUCCGCGCUGCAUUAGCUAGUUGGUAAGGUAACGGCUUACCAAGGCAACGAUGCAUAGCCGACCUGAGAGGGGGAUCGGCCACACUGGAACUGAGACACGGUCCAGACUCCUACGGGAGGCAGCAGUAGGGAAUCUUCCGCAAUGGGCGAAAGCCUGACGGAGCAACGCCGCGUGAGUGAUGAAGGUCUUCGGAUCGUAAAACUCUGUUAUUAGGGAAGAACAUAUGUGUAAGUAACUGUGCACAUCUUGACGGUACCUAAUCAGAAAGCCACGGCUAACUACGU